rnacentral:rRNA from 1 species
UUGAAGAGUUUGAUCAUGGCUCAGAUUGAACGCUGGCGGCAGGCCUAACACAUGCAAGUCGAGCGGUAGCACAGAGAGCUUGCUCUCGGGUGACGAGCGGCGGACGGGUGAGUAAUGUCUGGGAAACUGCCUGAUGGAGGGGGAUAACUACUGGAAACGGUAGCUAAUACCGCAUAACGUCGCAAGACCAAAGUGGGGGACCUUCGGGCCUCAUGCCAUCAGAUGUGCCCAGAUGGGAUUAGCUAGUAGGUGGGGUAACGGCUCACCUAGGCGACGAUCCCUAGCUGGUCUGAGAGGAUGACCAGCCACACUGGAACUGAGACACGGUCCAGACUCCUACGGGAGGCAGCAGUGGGGAAUAUUGCACAAUGGGCGCAAGCCUGAUGCAGCCAUGCCGCGUGUGUGAAGAAGGCCUUCGGGUUGUAAAGCACUUUCAGCGGGGAGGAAGGCGUUAAGGUUAAUAACCUCAUCGAUUGACGUUACCCGCAGAAGAAGCACCGGCUAACUCCGUGCCAGCAGCCGCGGUAAUACGGAGGGUGCAAGCGUUAAUCGGAAUUACUGGGCGUAAAGCGCACGCAGGCGGUCUGUCAAGUCGGAUGUGAAAUCCCCGGGCUCAACCUGGGAACUGCAUUCGAAACUGGCAGGCUAGAGUCUUGUAGAGGGGGGUAGAAUUCCAGGUGUAGCGGUGAAAUGCGUAGAGAUCUGGAGGAAUACCGGUGGCGAAGGCGGCCCCCUGGACAAAGACUGACGCUCAGGUGCGAAAGCGUGGGGAGCAAACAGGAUUAGAUACCCUGGUAGUCCACGCCGUAAACGAUGUCGAUUUGGAGGUUGUGCCCUUGAGGCGUGGCUUCCGGAGCUAACGCGUUAAAUCGACCGCCUGGGGAGUACGGCCGCAAGGUUAAAACUCAAAUGAAUUGACGGGGGCCCGCACAAGCGGUGGAGCAUGUGGUUUAAUUCGAUGCAACGCGAAGAACCUUACCUGGUCUUGACAUCCACAGAACUUAGCAGAGAUGCUUUGGUGCCUUCGGGAACUGUGAGACAGGUGCUGCAUGGCUGUCGUCAGCUCGUGUUGUGAAAUGUUGGGUUAAGUCCCGCAACGAGCGCAACCCUUAUCCUUUGUUGCCAGCGGUCCGGCCGGGAACUCAAAGGAGACUGCCAGUGAUAAACUGGAGGAAGGUGGGGAUGACGUCAAGUCAUCAUGGCCCUUACGACCAGGGCUACACACGUGCUACAAUGGCAUAUACAAAGAGAAGCGACCUCGCGAGAGCAAGCGGACCUCAUAAAGUAUGUCGUAGUCCGGAUUGAGUCUGCAACUCGACUCCAUGAAGUCGGAAUCGCUAGUAAUCGUAGAUCAGAAUGCUACGGUGAAUACGUUCCCGGGCCUUGUACACCGCCCGUCACACCAUGGGAGUGGGUUGCAAAAGAAGUAGGUAGCUUAACCUUCGGGAGGGCGCUUACCACUUUGUGAUUCAUGACUGGGGUGAAGUCGUAACAAGGUAACCGUAGGGAACCUGCGGUUGGAUCACCUCCUU